AACGAACGCUGGCGGCGGGCUUAACACAUGCAAGUCGAGCGCCCCGCAAGGGGAGCGGCAGACGGGUGAGUAACGCGUGGGAAUCUACCCAUCCCUACGGAAUAGCUCCGGGAAACUGGAAUUAAUACCGUAUACGCCCUACGGGGGAAAGAUUUAUCGGGGAUGGAUGAGCCCGCGUUGGAUUAGCUAGUUGGUGGGGUAAAGGCCUACCAAGGCGACGAUCCAUAGCUGGUCUGAGAGGAUGAUCAGCCACAUUGGGACUGAGACACGGCCCAAACUCCUACGGGAGGCAGCAGUGGGGAAUAUUGGACAAUGGGGGCAACCCUGAUCCAGCCAUGCCGCGUGAGUGAUGAAGGCCUUAGGGUUGUAAAGCUCUGUUGCACGGGAAGAAAAAAAUGACGGUACCGUGCGAGAAAGGAUCGGCUAACUUCGUGCCAGCCGCCGCCGUAA
rnacentral:rRNA from 1 species